CUAACUCUAAGGCUCAAGGCCUGGGGAGGGAAAGACCUGCAGUGCCCUUCCUCCCACCUUCCUCUUGUGCUGCCUUUCCCUGUGUAGCAGUCCACAGCUGUAGCAGCCAUCACACAACCUCAGGCAGGCUAGUUAGCCCAGAGAAAAGAGCCUGAACCCCCGAUCAAUAACUUUAGUCUUGUCUGCCUAAUUGCUCAUUGGUCAACAUUGGCGCCAGACUAUAUGUAAGUGAUGUUCCCCCGAGUGAUCGACUUCGGCUCCAUUUCCACCACUUCCCGCCUAGUGUUGGGCUUACGGUCUGCCCCUCUCUUUUCUUGUGUUCUCGCCUCUGUUCACCCAUGUUCGGAAUGGAGAAAUCUUGAUCUGAUCGGCUUCUCCUCAGUCCUCUCAACGGGAUGAGACCGUCCAGAGACUAGAACAAGACGUGCCGCUCUCUCACCAGGCCCGUGACUCCGAGGCUGCUCAGGAUUCCUUGUGCAUCAGCGACACUGCAGCGACAUCACACAUACUGGACUAAAGCCUCUGUCCAAGUGAACCAGGAGCUAGUAGCUGGACAUCCUGAAGCAAGGAUCUCUCAGUCACUGCCUGACCUGCAGAGGGCUGAUUGGAUCUCGAGAGGAACAGUCGUAUGCAGGAAAAUCAGAAGGAGCUUCAGAGCCUGACUCCACAGGCCCAGGAGCUCCAGAGCCAGGUAUAGUGCUGCUGCUAAACCCAGGUUUUUCCAGCAGGCCUCAGACUCAAACCCAUCAUGCUUCAUGCAGCCAUCCCCAUCAGUGCAUUUUGAGCAGAACAGCAUUUUGUGGAGCACAUUUGAAAUGUUUCCAUCCCAGUGUUUCUUCAUAUUGAUUGAAUGCAUUUUUGUUUGUGCCAUCUAAUCUGCUUCGAGAGGUUACAAGUAAAAUCUAAAGUAAUUGGGUCAUCAGGCAACGAUGGAAGCAUUGAUGGAAAGUGAGCAGGAGUGGAGAGCUCAGACUGAAGCUAAGAUCCUGCCACUACAUCCAGAGGUGUCCAACAUGGCUGCUUUCAUUAGCAGGAGGAGGCGAAGAGGCAGAAUGAAGAACAGAUUUCUGAGCUACAGGUGGAAACGAUGCUGCUGGAGGAUGGAAGGCAAGAGCUGCAAAGAAAGUGCAGGAGUUUGCCUUGAAGCUGGAGGUGCUAAUCCUGCAGAUGGAGGUCAAGAAUCCCCAGAAUAGCCAGAAACUGGAGGAAAGCAGGCUCUGCCCCAGCAGUGUGCCCAAGGCAUCCAGGAGUGGAGUCUAGCAGAGGUGUGCCACAGCUGAGUAGAGGUGUCCAGAUUCAACCAGCUCAAAGACAGCUGUCUG